rnacentral:lncRNA from 13 species
GGAAAUAGAAAUUUUUUAAUUAUUUUAUACAUUAUUUUUCAUACUCUUUAUUUAUUUAUCUUACAUUCAAAUGGCUAAGUUAAAUUUUGAUAGUCUAUACCACAUGCCUUUGGAGCUUUUAGACCAAUAAGUACAUGAUCUAUAAGGAAUAAUAUUUUCUAUUUUAAAUAUUUUUGGUCAGAAUUUCUCAGCGUAAAAUAUGAUGAUAAAAAUUUGCUUUUUUGGCUCUUGUUUUUGAUAUGAAGUGACUGCCAACUAUCAGUGUGAAAUACAUUUUCUUUUUCUGACAUCCCUUGGGUCGCCUGUGUGACCGAAUUCUGGCCAAUAAAUCUAUGUUUACUGGAUGGUACUUUGGCAUGGAUUCAGUGCCUGGAAGUGUGGCAGCCACCUCCAGCCUGUGAGGAUGAAGAGGAAUAUGCUGAGUGGCAGAGCAGAAAGCUGGACGAAGCCUGGUCCCUGUGGCCUUUUUUUUGCAGCUGUGAAACAAACACUGGCUUCAAGACAAGCGAUAUUAAAACAAGUUGUAGCUCGCCAUGAGAUGCUGCCUGACUCUACUGUUCCGAAAACCAUAACUACAGCUUUGAUUAGACAAGAGACCGAUUUCAAUCACUUUCUUCUGGUAAGAAGACCACUGACCAAGACCUGAUUGUGGCCAAUUUACAGAGGCUGAGAACAGAAGUGCUGUCACUUCCUGAAAACCCCUCUUGACUUAUACGGCCUAACUGCCAUAUAUUUAAAUGUUAAGUCUCCACCCCAAAGUGAACACAGGUUGUAUGUAACAUGCAUGUUUGUUCAAUACUCUUGCCUCAGGGCCACCUUCAUGAAUAGUCACAGCUCCUCCCGUUGCCCAUUGAGUAUGUGUGUUUAGCACCUGUUCAGCUAAAUCUCUAACCUCAACCUUCUCCUUCAACGCCUGCCUCUGCCUUUUGCUUGAAGCACACUUCCCAGCUGGUGGGAUGGCCACCUCACAGGCUAUAACCCUUUACAAGAAAUAAAUCUCCUUUUCCAAAUGUAAAAAU